UUCCCUACGGGGGGCAGCAGUGGGGAAUAUUGCACAAUGGGGGAAACCCUGAUGCAGCGACGCCGCGUGAGUGAAGAAGUAAUUCGUUACGUAAAGCUCUAUCAGCAGGGAAGAGAAUGACGGUACCUGAGUAAGAAGCCCCGGCUAACUACGUGCCAGCAGCCGCGGUAAUACGUAGGGGGCAAGCGUUAUCCGGAUUUACUGGGUGUAAAGGGAGCGUAGACGGCAGAGAAAGUCUGAAGUGAAAGCCCGCGGCUCAAC
rnacentral:rRNA from 1 species